rnacentral:rRNA from 1 species
CACGUAGGGUGCGAGCGUUGUCCGGAAUUAUUGGGCGUAAAGAGCUCGUAGGCGGUCCGUCACGUCGGAUGUGAAAUUCCAGGGCUCAACCCUGGACCUGCAUUCGAUACGGGCGGACUAGAGUUCGGUAGGGGAGACUGGAAUUCCUGGUGUAGCGGUGAAAUGCGCAGAUAUCAGGAGGAACACCGGUGGCGAAGGCGGCAUCCUGGACCGACAUUGACGCUGAACGGCGAAAGCUAGGGGAGCAAACGGG